rnacentral:rRNA from 1 species
CCUACAGGCGGCAGCAGUGGGGAAUAUUGGACAAUGGGGGGAACCCUGAUCCAGCCAUGCCGCGUGUGUGAAGAAGGCCCUCGGGUUGUAAAGCACUUUCAGUGAGGAAGAACGCCUGGUGGUUAAUACCCAUCAGGAAAGACAUCACUCACAGAAGAAGCACCGGCUAACUCCGUGCCAGCAGCCGCGGUAAUACGGAGGGUGCGAGCGUUAAUCGGAAUUACUGGGCGUAAAGCGCGCGUAGGUGGCUUGAUAAGCCGGUUGUGAAAGCCCCGGGCUCAACCUGGGAACGGCAUCCGGAACUGUCAAGCUAGAGUGCAGGAGAGGAAGGUAGAAUUCCCGGUGUAGCGGUGAAAUGCGUAGAGAUCGGGAGGAAUACCAGUGGCGAAGGCGGCCUUCUGGACUGACACUGACACUGAGGUGCGAAAGCGUGGGUAGCAAACAGGAUUAGAUACCCCUGUAGUC